rnacentral:rRNA from 1 species
UGUAGUCAUAUGCUUGUCUCAAAGAUUAAGCCAUGCAUGUCUAAGUAUAAGCAAUUAUACAGCGAAACUGCGAAUGGCUCAUUAUAUAAGUUAUCGUUUAUUUGAUAGUACCUUACUACUUGGAUAACCGUGGUAAUUCUAGAGCUAAUACAUGCUAAAAAUCCCGACUUCGGAAGGGAUGUAUUUAUUAGAUUAAAAACCAAUGCCCUCCGGGGCUCACUGGUGAUUCAUGAUAACUCCUCGAAUCGCAUGGCCUUGCGCCGGCGAUGGUUCAUUCAAAUUUCUUCCCUAUCAACUUUCGAUGUUUGGGUAUUGGCCAAACAUGGUUGCAACGGGUAACGGGGAAUG